GGUCAUAUGCUCGUCUCAAAGAUUAAGCCAUGCAUGUCUAAGUUCAUAUCGAUUUAAAAGAUGAAACUGCGAAGGGCUCAGUAAAUCAGUUAUCGUCCAUUCGAUCAUAAAAGCCAUGGAUAACUGUGGCAAAUCUAGAGCUAAUACAUGCAAAUGUGGCGGUGGCAACACUGCUGCAGCAUUUAUUGGACUGAACCAAACAGGCGCACGCGUUUAACGUGGGUGCCUGCAGGUGAAUCUAGAUAACUUUGCAUAUCGCACGGCUAGUCCGGUGAUAGUUCGAUCGAAUUUCUGCCCUAUCAACUAGUUGGUAAGGUAGUGGCCUACCAAGGUUGUGACGGGUAACGGGGAAUCAGGGUUCGAUUCCGGAGAGGGAGCCUGAGAAACGGCUACCACAUCUAAGGAAGGCAGCAGGCGCGCAAAUUACCCAAUCCAGACACUGGGAGGUAGUGACGAGAAAUACCAAAGUGUGCCUUCGGGUAUCACUAUUGGAAUGAACGUAACAUAGUACCUUCGAUGAGUACCCACUGGAGGGCAAGUCUGGUGCCAGCAGCCGCGGUAAUUCCAGCUCCAGUAGUGUAUAUCAAAAUUGUUGCGGUUAAAACGCUCGUAGUUGGAUUACAGACGUGCCGCGUCAGCUGAGCAAUAUAGUUUGGUUGGCGGGGCGCGUUUUUAUCGCAAGAACCACCGGUGCGCUUAACCGUGUAUGGGUGGCCACUUGCGGAGCGUGCCUUGAAUAAAGCACAGUGCUCAAAGCAAGCGUAACGCUUGAAUGUUUUAGCAUGGAACGAAUAGCCCGACUCGACGGAAGGGUGGCGGCUACGGCGGAAACGCGCAGUGGUCGUGACUCACGCCGUCUCAAGUUCAGUUGUUGGUUCUCUGAACUGGGUCAUGAUUAAAAGGGGCAUUUGAGGGCGUUAGUACUUGGUGGCGAGAGGUGAAAUUCUUAGACCCACCAAAGACUCACUAAUGCGAAAGCAUUCGCCAAGAAUGUUUUCAUUGAUCAAGAACGAAAGUUAGAGGUUCGAAGACGAUCAGAUACCGUCCUAGUUCUAUACAGUAAACUAUGCCACCACGGGAUCAGUCCGGAACGAUCCAGGUUGGUCCCCCCAGGAAACUUGAAGUGUUCGGGUUCCGGGGGGAGUACAGUCGCAAGUCCGAAACUUAAAGGAAUUGACGGAAGGGCACCACCAGGAGUGGAGCCUGCGGCUUAAUUUGACUCAACACGGGGCAACUCACCAGGUCCAGACAUUGAAAGGAUCGACAGACUGAUAGAUCUUUCGAGAUCCAAUGAUUGGUGGUGCAUGGCCGUUCUUAGUUGGUGGAGUGAUCUGUCAGGUCUAUUCCGGUAACGAGCGAGACCACGAUCUCUAUUUGAUUGCAGCAGCCCUGCAAGGGGCGGUUGGUCAUAGAGAGACUACCGGAAUACAAGCCGGGGGAAGCGUGGCAAUAACAGGUCUGUGAUGCCCUUCGAUGUUCUGGGCCGCACGCGCGCUACAAUGGCAGUGACAACAAGUGUCUGCGUCGAGAGACGUGGAAAAUCUUGACAAUCGCUGUCGUGAUUGGGAUUGAGCCUUGUAAUAAUUGCUCAUGAAAGAGGAAUUCCUCGUAAGCGCGAGUCACCAACUCGUGUUGAAUACGUCUCUGCCCUUUGUA
rnacentral:rRNA from 1 species